rnacentral:rRNA from 1 species
UAGGGAAUUUUCCACAAUGGGCGAAAGCCUGAUGGAGCAACGCCGCGUGCAGGAUGAAUGUCUUCGGAUUGUAAACUGCUUUUAUAUGUGACGAUUAUGACGGUAGCAUAUGAAUAAGGAUCGGCUAACUCCGUGCCAGCAGCCGCGGUCAUACGGAGGAUCCAAGCGUUAUCCGGAAUUACUGGGCGUAAAGAGUUGCGUAGGCGGCAGAGUAAGCGAAUAGUAAAAUGAUGUGGCUCAACCAUGUGUCUAUUAUUUGAACUGCUCAGCUAGAGGACGAGAGAGGUAACUGGAAUUCCUAGUGUAGGAGUGAAAUCCGUAGAUAUUAGGAGGAACACCGAUGGCGUAGGCAGGUUACUGGCUCGUUCCUGACGCUCAGGCACGAAAGCGUGGGUAGCAAACAGGAUUAGAUACCCCCGUAGUCC